UACGUAGGGUGCGAGCGUUGUCCGGAAUUAUUGGGCGUAAAGGGCUCGUAGGCGGUUUGUCGCGUCGGGAGUGAAAUCCACUGGCUUAACUGGUGGCUUGCUUUCGAUACGGGCAGACUGGAGGUAUGCAGGGGAGAACGGAAUUCCUGGUGUAGCGGUGAAAUGCGCAGAUAUCAGGAGGAACACCGGUGGCGAAGGCGGUUCU
rnacentral:rRNA from 1 species